rnacentral:rRNA from 1 species
UACGUAGGGGGCAAGCGUUGUCCGGAAUCAUUGGGCGUAAAGAGCGUGUAGGCGGUCCGAUAAGUCCGCUCUGAAAGCCCGGGGCUCAACCCCGGGAGGCGGGCGGAUACUGUCGGGCUAGAGUCCGGAAGAGGCAAGUGGAAUUCCUGGUGUAGCGGUGAAAUGCGCAGAUAUCAGGAGGAACACCGGUGGCGAAGGCGGCCCACUGGCUCGACACUGA